GUUUACGCUCUACAACCCUUUGUGAACAUACCUAUAACUGUUGCUUCGGCGGGUAGGGUCUCCGCGACCCUCCCGGCCUCCCGCCUCCGGGCGGGUCGGCGCCCGCCGGAGGAUAACCAAACUCUGAUUUAACGACGUUUCUUCUGAGUGGUACAAGCAAAUAAUCAAAACUUUUAACAACGGAUCUCUUGGUUCUGGCAUCGAUGAAGAACGCAGCGAAAUGCGAUAAGUAAUGUGAAUUGCAGAAUUCAGUGAAUCAUCGAAUCUUUGAACGCACAUUGCGCCCGCCAGCAUUCUGGCGGGCAUGCCUGUUCGAGCGUCAUUUCAACCCUCAAGCUCUGCUUGGUGUUGGGGCCCUACAGCUGAUGUAGGCCCUCAAAGGUAGUGGCGGACCCUCUCGGAGCCUCCUUUGCGUAGUAACUUUACGUCUCGCACUGGGAUCCGGAGGGACUCUUGCCGUAAAACCCCCAAUUUUCCAAAGGUUGACCUCGGAUCAGGUAGGAAUACCCGCUGAACUUAAGCAUAUCAAUAAGCGGAGGAAAAGAAACCAACAGGGAUUGCCUCAGUAACGGCGAGUGAAGCGGCAACAGCUCAAAUUUGAAAUCUGGCCCUAGGCCCGAGUUGUAAUUUGCAGAGGAUGCUUUUGGUGCGGUGCCUUCCAAGUUCCCUAGAACGGGACGCCAGAGAGGGUGAGAGCCCNCGUACAGUUGGACNNCNNAGCCUUUGUAAAGCUCCUUCGACGAGUCGAGUAGUUUGGGAAUGCUGCUCAAAAUGGGAGGUAUAUUUCUUCUAAAGCUAAAU
rnacentral:rRNA from 1 species